CCUACGGGGGGCAGCAGUGGGGAAUAUUGGACAAUGGGCGAAAGCCUGAUCCAGCCAUGCCGCGUGUGUGAAGAAGGCCUUCGGGUUGUAAAGCACUUUCAGUGGGGAAGAAAGCCUUGGGGCUAAUACCCUCGAGGAAGGACAUCACCCACAGAAGAAGCACCGGCUAACUCCGUGCCAGCAGCCGCGGUAAUACGGAGGGUGCGAGCGUUAAUCGGAAUUACUGGGCGUAAAGCGCGCGUAGGCGGUCUGAUAAGCCGGUUGUGAAAGCCCCGGGCUCAACCUGGGAACGGCAUCCGGAACUGUCAGGCUAGAGUGCAGGAGAGGAAGGUAGAAUUCCCGGUGUAGCGGUGAAAUGCGUAGAGAUCGGGAGGAAUACCAGUGGCGAAGGCGGCCUUCUGGACUGACACUGACGCUGAGGUGCGAAAGCGUGGGUAGCAAACAGGAUUAGAUACCCGGGUAGU
rnacentral:rRNA from 1 species